AAAGUCUGCAUGCAAACCUUGCACUGGAUGGUCAUGGCUUUCUUGUUAGAGUCAAGCUGGCUUCCCUUAACAGCUUUCUGCUUCUCCAUGUGCUUAUCACGUGCCAUCUUGGCUUUCUGGCCGUUGCCUCCUCCCAUGGUUGAUUGAUUUCAGAAAGUUGAAUGAAACUAUGCGCUUCUUUAUUAAGAUCGGGGAUGGAGGCGAACGGCGGAGGAAGAUGCAGAGAAGGAAUUGCAACUAAGAAGGUUCGG
rnacentral:misc_RNA from 1 species